UUACAUACUCGCCUAGUGGAUUAGGGCAUUUGAUUGCAGAUCAAACUAUCGCGGGUUCAAAUCCCGUGUAUGAAA
rnacentral:tRNA from 1 species